rnacentral:rRNA from 1 species
ACGAACGCUGGCGGCGCGCCUAACACAUGCAAGUCGAACGGAGCUGAGAGAAGCUUGCUUUUCUUAGCUUAGUGGCGAACGGGUGAGUAACGCGUGAGUAACCUGCCCUGGAGUGGGGGACAACAGUUGGAAACGACUGCUAAUACCGCAUAAGCCCACGAUCCGGCAUCGGAUUGAGGGAAAAGGAUUUAUUCGCUUCAGGAUGGACUCGCGUCCAAUUAGCUAGUUGGUGAGGUAACGGCCCACCAAGGCGACGAUUGGUAGCCGGACUGAGAGGUUGACCGGCCACCUUGGGACUGAGACACGGCCCAGACUCCUACGGGAGGCAGCAGUGGGGGAUAUUGCACAAUGGGGGAAACCCUGAUGCAGCGGCGCCGCGUGGAGGAAGAAGGUUUUCGGAUUGUAAACUCCUGUCGUUAGGGACGAUAAUGACGGUACCUAACAAGAAAGCACCGGCUAACUACGUG